rnacentral:rRNA from 1 species
GACGAACGCUGGCGGCGUGCUUAACACAUGCAAGUCGAACGGUGAAAGCGGAGCUUGCUUCGCUGGAUUAGUGGCGAACGGGUGAGUAACACGUGAGUAACCUGCCCUUGACUCUGGGAUAAGCGUUGGAAACGACGUCUAAUACCGGAUACGAGCUAGGACCGCAUGGUCACUAGCUGGAAAGAAUUUUGGUCAAGGAUGGACUCGCGGCCUAUCAGCUAGUUGGUGAGGUAACGGCCCACCAAGGCGACGACGGGUAGCCGGCCUGAGAGGGUGACCGGCCACACUGGGACUGAGACACGGCCCAGACUCCUACGGGAGGCAGCAGUGGGGAAUAUUGCACAAUGGGCGAAAGCCUGAUGCAGCAACGCCGCGUGAGGGACGACGGCCUUCGGGUUGUAAACCUCUUUUAGCAGGGAAGAAGCGAAAGUGACGGUACCUGCAGAAAAAGCACCGGCUAACUACGUG